rnacentral:lncRNA from 1 species
AGAAGAUCAGAAAUGAUGUAGAAGGGGAAGUCAAAUAAGUUUGCCUUCAUGUAAACUCUUUUUCUUCUCUUUCCAUUUCAGGAUGGUUUUAGUUCUUCUCCAGAGAAAGGCAUCCUGAUAAAAGGAUAUGGGCCAGCCUUUAAUUGAUUUCUCAGCUGGACAUUGGAAAUAGCUUUUGAUGGUCCUGGGCUUCUUUCAUUUGACCCAGGAGCAUUGAUCUAGAGUUCUAAAAGCAAGACUAAAAAUAUGCCUUCAUGAAAACGUGCCUACAAAAGGUGACCCUUCUUGUUUUGGCUUUAAGGGUGUGGCACAGUUGUUAUGUUGAUGCAAAAGUGAAAUCCUCAUGGAAAAGUACCGUUUCUGUAGAUU